UACAGGGUGCUCAGAAAGCAUGCGUCCCUUAGAGUCCCACGGAAAGGUUCUCAGUGCGCUCUCUAUCAAGUGCUAUGAGUCUUGAUAAAUUGGAGAAGAGCCCAAGAGAAAUUUUUCAUCCCUUGAUAUAAAAGGGAUCGGUGAAUUUUAACUUUGGAGUCCUCUGUGCUAAGGAUGCUCAGCUUACCGAUGAUGAAAUGUUCAGUAAUGUAUUUGCUGCAGCUCUGCUUACCCAAGCUUUGGGUUCCUUCUGUCCCACUGGGAGUUGCCCAAUUUGGUUGCAUCUGGUGAAAUUCACCCUGAGACCUUACAGAACCAGCUCCAACUACGUGAGAGCCAUUUGCAGUUCUCUCCAGACACCUGGAGAAUGGGCGACGUUUCUGAGGAUCCAGCGAGCGUGCUUCUGUCAAAACUCAGUCUGUGAAAUUUCUGGGGAAAACCCUUCUGUGUCCUGAAGGGUUCAAACUCUGGUGAGGAUCCAGUUAUCAGGUGCUCACCUGGAUGGUUCCAGCUCCCAAAGGUAACACUUGUACUCUUGCCCUGUAGUUUACAUCUAUUGUAUUUUUGUUAUUUUGCAAGAUUUUUUGUCUUUGCAAAAUAUUGUGCAUUUCACUCUUUGGGCACUCUCAGAUGGUUCUUUGGUGCAGCACCACCCCAUGGGACACUUGGCUGCUGUCCUGAAGGGGAUGGUCGCUAGAAUUGUGAAUCCUGGAGUGUUUAUAAGUCUUCUGUCCCCAGGGAGGUGUCAUGCUUUGUUUACUUUUGUUCUGUUG